AGUGAACGCUGGCGGUAGGCCUAACACAUGCAAGUCGAACGGCAGCACAGUAAGAGCUUGCUCUUACGGGUGGCGAGUGGCGGACGGGUGAGGAAUACAUCGGAAUCUACUUUUUCGUGGGGGAUAACGUAGAGAAACUUACGCUAAUACCGCAUACGACCUACGGGUGAAAGCAGGGGAUCUUCGGACCUUGCGCGAUUGAAUGAGCCGAUGUCGGAUUAGCUAGUUGGCGGGGUAAAGGCCCACCAAGGCGACGAUCCGUAGCUGGUCUGAGAGGAUGAUCAGCCACACUGGAACUGAGACACGGUCCAGACUCCUACGGGAGGCAGCAGUGGGGAAUAUUGGACAAUGGGCGCAAGCCUGAUCCAGCCAUACCGCGUGGGUGAAGAAGGCCUUCGAGUUGUAAAGCCCUUUUGUUGGGAAAGAAAAGCAGCAGGUUAAUACCCCGCUGUUCUGACGGUACCCAAAGAAUAAGCACCGGCUAACUUCGUG
rnacentral:rRNA from 1 species